UACGGAGGGCGCUAGCGUUGUUCGGAAUUACUGGGCGUAAAGCGCACGUAGGCGGCUUUGUAAGUUAGGGGUGAAAGCCCGGGGCUCAACUCCGGAAUUGCCUUUAAGACUGCAUCGCUUGAAUCCGGGAGAGGUGAGUGGAAUUCCGAGUGUAGAGGUGAAAUUCGUAGAUAUUCGGAAGAACACCAGUGGCGAAGGCGACUUACUGGACACAUAUUGACGCUGAGGUGCGAAAGCGUGGGGAGCAAACAGG
rnacentral:rRNA from 1 species